ACUAUGAGCCUGAUCCAAAGCCCAUUGAAAUCAAUGGUAGUCUUUCCAUUGACUUCAAUGGGUUUUGGACCAUUCUCCAGGU
rnacentral:pre_miRNA from 1 species